rnacentral:rRNA from 1 species
UACGAGGGGUGCAAGCGUUGCUCGGAAUUAUUGGGCGUAAAGGGCUCGUAGGCGGUUUGUCGCGUCGGGAGUGAAAACCCAGGGCUUAACUCUGGGCUUGCUUUCGAUACGGGCAGACUAGAGGUAUGCAGGGGAGAACGGAAUUCCUGGUGCAGCGGUGAAAUGCGCAGAUAUCAGGAGGAACACCGGUGGCGAAGGCGGUUCUCUGGGCAUUACCUGACGCUGAGGAGCGAAAGUGUGGGGAGCGAACAGG